rnacentral:rRNA from 1 species
CCUACGGGUGGCAGCAGUGGGGAAUAUUGGGCAAUGGAGGCAACUCUUACCCAGCAAUGCCGCGUGAAUGAAGAAGGUCUUCGGAUUGUAAAGUUCUUUAAUUGGGGACGAAAAAAAUGACGGUACCCCAGGAAUAAGCCCCGGCUAAAUACGUGCCAGCAGCAGCGGUAAUACUUAGGGGGCAAGCGUUGUUCGGAAUGACUGGGCGUAAAGGGUGGGUAGGCGGGGUAGCAAGUUAGAAGUGAAAUACCUUGAGCUUAACUCAGGUGCUGCUUCUAAAACGGCUAUACUUGAGUGCAGUAGAGGAAGGUGGAAUUACUGGUGUAGCGGUGGAAUGCGUAGAUAUUAGGAGGAACAUCAGUGGCGAAGGCGACUUUCUGGACUGUAACUGACGCUGAGGCACGAAAGUGUGGGGAGCAAACAGGAGUAGAUACCCGAGUAGUC